GAUGAAGAACGUAGCGAAAUGCGAUACGUAAUGUGAAUUGCAGAAUUCAGUGAAUCAUCGAAUCUUUGAACGCAUAUUGCGCUCUCUGGUAUUCCGGAGAGCAUGCUUGUUUGAGUAUCAGUAAACACCUCAACUUCCAUAUCUUUUUUGAAAUGGGAGUUGGACUUGAGUGAUCCCAACGCUUUUCCUCACCGAAAAGCGGCGGGUUACUUGAAAUGCAGGUGCAGCUGGACUUUUCUCUGAGCUAUAAGCAUAUCUAUUUAGUCUGCCUAAAAAACAGAUUAUUACCUUUGCUGCAGCUAACAUAAAGGAGAUUAGUUCUUGUGCUGACUUAUGCAGGAUUCACAAAGACAGGCUUCGGCCGACUUUGUAAACUCGAUCUCAAAUCAAGUAAGACUACCCGCUGAACUUAAGCAUAUCAAUAAGCGGAGGA
rnacentral:misc_RNA from 1 species